rnacentral:sRNA from 1 species
UACCUAACACUGUUAUUGCUUUCUGGCCU